CUAUAGGGUAGUAGUGCACUACUUUAGACCAGGGCCUAUAGGGUAGUAGUGCACUACUUUAGACCAGGGUCUAUAGGGUAGUAGUGCACUACUUUAGACCAGGGUCUAUAGGGUAGUAGUGCACUACUUUAGACCAGGGUCUAUAGGGUAGUAGUGCACUACUUUAGACCAGGAUCUAUAGGGUAGUAGUGCACUACUUUAGACCAGGGUCUAUAGGGUAGUAGUGCACUACUUUAGACCAGGAUCUAUAGGGUAGUAGUGCACUACUUUAGACCAGGGUCUAUAGGGUAGUAG